GAUGAACGCUGGCGGCGUGCCUAACACAUGCAAGUCGAGCGGAUAGACGGAGCUUUUGCCUGGUUUCCGCGGGGGGCGGGGGAGUGAUACACAGGAGUAUGCCUGGUCUUGGGGGCUAACAUCCGGAGGCGGGCGCUGAUACCGCAUACGACCAGAUGGUGAAAGUGGGGGGUCUUUGGACAUCACCGGAUCAGAUGAGCCUACGCGGGGUUAGCUAGUUGGUGGGGUAAGGGCCUACCAAGGCGACGAUCCGUGGCUGGUCUGCGAGGGUGAUCGGCCACACUGGAACUGAGACACGGUCCAGACUCCUACGGGAGGCAGCAGUGGGGAAUGGUGGGCAAUGGGCGAAAGCCUGACCCAGCCAUGCCGCGUGUGUGAAGAAGGUCUUCGGAUCGUAAAGCACUUUUAGUUGGGAGGAACGGCUGUGGGUUAAUACAUUGCUGUUUUGACGGUACCAACUGAAGAAGCACCGGCUAACUACGUG
rnacentral:rRNA from 1 species